GAUGAACGCUGGCGGCGUGCCUAAUACAUGCAAGUCGAGCGAACGGACGAGAAGCUUGCUUCUCUGGUGUUAGCGGCGGACGGGUGAGUAACACGUGGAUAACCUACCUAUAAGACUGGGAUAACUUCGGGAAACCGUAGCUAAUACCGGAUAAUAUUUUGAACCGCAUGGUUCAAAAGUGAAAGACGGUCUUGCUGUCACUUAUAGAUGGAUCCGCGCUGCAUUAGCUAGUUGGUAAGGUAACGGCUUACCAAGGCAACGAUGCAUAGCCGACCUGAGAGGGUGAUCGGCCACACUGGAACUGAGACACGGUCCAGACUCCUACGGGAGGCAGCAGUAGGGAAUCUUCCGCAAUGGGCGAAAGCCUGACGGAGCAACGCCGCGUGAGUGAUGAAGGUCUUCGGAUCGUAAAACUCUGUUAUUAGGGAAGAACAUAUAUGUAAGUAACUGUGCACAUCUUGACGGUACCUAAUCAGAGAGCCACGGCUAACUACGUG
rnacentral:rRNA from 1 species